CCCUUUUUCUCCUUUUAUGUCCUCCUUUAACUUUCCUCCAUUAAAGAUGUUAGCCCUUGUAGUUGGAAAAUUGCUUGAGGGUGAACGGAGGAGAAGAUGACGUUAAACCAAAAAGCCUAGAAGGGGGAGGGUUCGUGUGCAACUGGAGAUAGGGCGAUUUUGGAUCUUUGUUCAUGCAACCGGGCAAUUUACAAUCACGAGGAAGGCAACUCUACGCUCCCAAGUGUCAACAGCUGACUAGAUGCAAGCAGCCCAGAGUGAGACUGGGAGGGUUCAGUCCAGGGAAGCCGAUUCGAGGGCUGAGAUCGAAGAAGCAAAAGAGAGCCUGGAGAAAGCUCUGUUUCAUUGCAUCCAGUCACUGAAAGAUGAGCCCCAGCGCACUAAGAAAGAAUUGCAGGAGGUGAAGGGGAGAAAGUCAAGGUUACUGAAAUAAGAGGGAUGAUCCGGAGACUGAAGACCUCGAGUUCAUUGCGAAUGCGCUUGCCUAAAGGAUGCUAUAGACUUGUGUCCUCAACAUUGCAAAGAAGCUUGAGUCAAAGCAUGAAGGCCAAGGAUGAACAAUAAGGAGGAGGAGCGACCAUAGUGCGGAGAAGCUUGAACUUGGUUUAACGUCGUUUCUCUGCCGUUCGUCCCUCAAGCAAUUUUGCAAUCUACAGUGGCUAACACCUUUAACGGAGGAAAGUUGAAGGAGGGAAUAAAAAGGAAAAAAAAAGUAAAGGGCCAAAUUCCUUAGGUUGAAAGAGAAGAACGUAACUUAUUACAGAUGGUUGGAGGAGACAGAGUGGUGUUUGUUUAGUUGUCACAAGAUUCAAAGAGUCACCAGCCACCCAUCCCUCUUCCCCUCAUCACAUGUCUUCUUAGACCUGAGAAAUGCUGGCGAAGAAAGGGUGUGAAAAAGAAAUGGGUUCUCCAACUGGUGGUCCGCUAACUAGAGCGCGGCAACCACAAGUAUUAACUUUUGUCGUAAAAGUGAUAUGCCAAAACAGCAAGUUUUACGAGGAUUGACAAAGUUGAUACAGAUUUUCCAAAUGUUACAUUGAUGGAAAUCGAGUGCAUUUUCAUAAGAGAAUCAGUUGAGCUAGAGGCGAUGUUUAA